AAGUCGUAACAAGGUUUCCGUAGGUGAACCUGCGGAAGGAUCAUUAAAGAAUUAGGCUUCGCGGCCAAGUUCUCACCCUUUGUAUACCGAAACCAUGUUGCUUUGGCACGGCCCCCUUGCAUUGCUGCCGGUCCUGGGCCCUAGCAAGGAUUGAUUAAAACCCAACCUUAAGGAAAUCUCUGCUGUCUGAGUACUAUACAAUAGUUAAAA
rnacentral:misc_RNA from 1 species